rnacentral:rRNA from 1 species
GGGCGUGCGGUGCUAUACAUGCAAGUCGAGCGGACAGAUGGGAGCUUGCUCCCUGAUGUUAGCGGCGGCCGGGUGAGUAACACGUGGGUAACCUGCCUGUAAGACUGGGAUAACUCCGGGAAACCGGGGCUAAUACCGGAUGGUUGUUUGAACCGCAUGGUUCAAACAUAAAAGGUGGCUUCGGCUACCACUUACAGAUGGACCCGCGGCGCAUUAGCUAGUUGGUGAGGUAACGGCUCACCAAGGCAACGAUGCGUAGCCGACCUGAGAGGGUGAUCGGCCACACUGGGACUGAGACACGGCCCAGACUCCUACGGGAGGCAGCAGUAGGGAAUCUUCCGCAAUGGACGAAAGUCUGACGGAGCAACGCCGCGUGAGUGAUGAAGGUUUUCGGAUCGUAAAGCUCUGUUGUUAGGGAAGAACAAGUACCGUUCGAAUAGGGCGGUACCUUGACGGUACCUAACCAGAAAGCCACGGCUAACUACGUGCCAGCAGCCGCGGUAAUACGUAGGUGGCAAGCGUUGUCCGGAAUUAUUGGGCGUAAAGGGCUCGCAGGCGGUUUCUUAAGUCUGAUGUGAAAGCCCCCGGCUCAACCGGGGAGGGUCAUUGGAAACUGGGGAACUUGAGUGCAGAAGAGGAGAGUGGAAUUCCACGUGUAGCGGUGAAAUGCGUAGAGAUGUGGAGGAACACCAGUGGCGAAGGCGACUCUCUGGUCUGUAACUGACGCUGAGGAGCGAAAGC